rnacentral:rRNA from 1 species
GUACACAAAAAUGCACAUGCUGUGAGCUCGAUGAGUAGGGCGGGACACGUGGUAUCCUGUCUGAAUAUGGGGGGACCAUCCUCCAAGGCUAAAUACUCCUGACUGACCGAUAGUGAACCAGUACCGUGAGGGAAAGGCGAAAAGAACCCCGGCGAGGGGAGUGAAAAAGAACCUGAAACCGUGUACGUACAAGCAGUGGGAGCACGCUUAGGCGUGUGACUGCGUACCUUUUGUAUAAUGGGUCAGCGACUUAUAUUCUGUAGCAAGGUUAACCGAAUAGGGGAGCCGAAGGGAAACCGAGUCUUAACUGGGCGUUAAGUUGCAGGGUAUAGACCCGAAACCCGGUGAUCUAGCCAUGGGCAGGUUGAAGGUUGGGUAACACUAACUGGAGGACCGAACCGACUAAUGUUGAAAAAUUAGCGGAUGACUUGUGGCUGGGGGUGAAAGGCCAAUCAAACCGGGAGAUAGCUGGUUCUCCCCGAAAGCUAUUUAGGUAGCGCCUCGUGAAUUCAUCUCCGGGGGUAGAGCACUGUUUCGGCAAGGGGGUCAUCCCGACUUACCAACCCGAUGCAAACUGCGAAUACCGGAGAAUGUUAUCACGGGAGACACACGGCGGGUGCUAACGUCCGUCGUGAAGAGGGAAACAACCCAGACCGCCAGCUAAGGUCCCAAAGUCAUGGUUAAGUGGGAAACGAUGUGGGAAGGCCCAGACAGCCAGGAUGUUGGCUUAGAAGCAGCCAUCAUUUAAAGAAAGCGUAAUAGCUCACUGGUCGAGUCGGCCUGCGCGGAAGAUGUAACGGGGCUAAACCAUGCACCGAAGCUGCGGCAGCGACGCUGAUGCGUUGUUGGGUAGGGGAGCGUUCUGUAAGCCUGCGA